AGUCGCAAGACGAUGUAUAGGAGCUGACGCCUGCCCGGUGCUGGAAGGUUAAGGGGAUCUGUUAGAGCAAUCGAAGCAGUGAACUUAAGCCCCAGUAAACGGCGGCCGUAACUAUAACGGUCCUAAGGUAGCGAAAUUCCUUGUCGGGUAAGUUCCGACCCGCACGAAAGGCGUAACGAUUUGGGCACUGUCUCAACAACAGACUCGGUGAAAUUGUAAUUCCGGUGAAGAUGCCGGAUACCUGCGACAGGACGGAAAGACCCCAUGGAGCUU
rnacentral:rRNA from 1 species